AUGACGAAGUAUCACAAACUGGAGGCUUCAACAAUAAUUCUCUCAGUUCUGGAGGCUAGAAAUCCAAGGUACAGUUGGUUCCUUCUGAGGACUCUGAGGGCAGGUCUGUCCCAGCCCUCCUUGGCUCAUCCUUGCCUUGUGGAUGACACAUCACUCCAUCCUCCACCUUCCCAUGGCGUUGUUCCUGCACUGACAUCUUCCUAUCUUCCAAGUCAGCUGGUGAGUAGAACAGCAGCAACAGCCCUGGCUUGGACAGCUCACAGUGCUCACCUCUGGCUAAUCUCUUGGAACCUCCCUGUCUUCAUGGGAAUUUACACAGGAUGGUAUUUGCCUCCCCAGGCCAAUAUGGGUGAAAACGAUAGCCUGCAGGUAUGGUCUGGCAGAGUUUAGAUACCUGAUACUGUUGUGGGCACCAGCCACAUCAUGACUGCCCUAUUUCUUUUUAAUAUUUAUUUUUAUUUAUUUAUGGAUUUGGCUGUGCCCAGUCUUCAUUGUUGGAGAAGGAAAUGGCAACCCACUCCAGUGUUCUUGCCUAGAGAAUCNNNNNNNNNNNNNNNNNNNNNNNNNNNNNNNNNNNGGGGUCGCACAGAGUUGGACACGUCUGAAGCGACUUAGCAGCAGCAGCAGCAGUCUUCACUGUGGCCCGGGGACCUCUCAUAUUCCUUGCAGCAUUUGGGAUCUUUGAUCUUCCAUGUGGCGUUCAAGAUCAUUAGUUGUGGUGUGCAGGAUCAAUUCCCCAACCAGGGAUUGAACUCAUGCCCCCUGCAUUGUGAGCAGAGUCUUAGCCACACCACCACCACAGAAGUCCUGUGACUCUCCUAGUUAAGGCAUUGAGUUCUUUAUUACUGAAUUCUUUUUUUUCAACUUUUAUGGGAGUAUAGUUGAUUUACAAUUUUGUUAGUUUCAGGUGUGUACAGCAAAGUGAAUCAGUCAUGUAUAUAUGGAUAUGGAUAUACAUAUACUCAUUCUCUUUCAGAUUCUUUUCCCGUAUAGAUUAUUACAGAAUAUUGAAUAAAGUUCCUUGUGCUAUACAGUAGGUCCUUGUUAGCAACCUAUUGUAUAUAUGUUUAUGUGUGUGCUCAGUCAAAUCCAAGUCUUUGUGGCCCCAUGGACUGUAGCCCACCAGGCUCCUCUCUGUCCAUAGAAUUUUCCAAGUGAGAAUACUGGAGUGGGUUGCCAUUUCCUACUCUAGGGAAUCUUCCUGAUGCAGGGAUUGAACCCAAAUCUCUGUGUCUCCUGCUUUGGCAGGCAGAUUCUUUACCACUGUUCCAUCUGGGAAGCCCCUAUUUUAAAAUAUAUAAUAGUGUGUGUGUAUUAAUCCCAAUCUAAUUUAUUACUUCCUCCUACAUUUUCCCUUUGGUAACCAUAGAUGUGAUUUUGGGAUCUGUGAGUUUGUUUCUGUUUUGUAAUAAAGUUCAUUUGUAUUUUAAAUUAGCUUUCACAUAUAAGUGAUAUCAUAUGAUGCUGGUCUUUCUCAGACUUACAUAAGUGUGAUAGUUUCUAGAUCUAUCCCUGUUGCUGCAGAGGCCUCUGUUACUGAAUUCUGAUUCAUUUGCGUAUGCCAGCACGAGAGUAUCAGCUCCUUAACUUGGGAUAUUUUGUCUUUGCGUCCUCUCUGCCUAAUGUAGUAUCUAGCCAAGUACCUGUAGAAUGAAUGUGCUUAGUCAAUUGGUUAUGUCCAACUCUUGGUGACCCACAAGGCUCCUCUGUCUAUGGGAUUCUCUAGGCAAGAAUACUGGAGUAGGUUGCCAUGCCCUCCUCCAGGGGAUCUUUCCAACCCAGGGAUCAAACCCAGGUCUCCGGCACUUCAGGUGGGUUCAGGUGAGCCACUAGGGAAGCCCCUGGAAUGAAUAAGUAAGUUCAUUUUUACUUAGGAUUUAAAUCAGUGUUUCAUAUAAGAAUUUAGAUGGCUUCUUUGCUCAGCUUCUGUGAAAAUGCUCAGUCCUACAAGGAAGCUGAGGGAGUGUUGGAGUGAGGCCCUCGUUUCUGGUGCUCAAUGCACCUGGCAGUCGUCCACUUGGCACUCGCCCCUCCACGGCCUCCGUCUCUGAGCUCACCUGCAUCUACCCAACCCUCAUCCUGUGCAAGGAUGAGGUGCCACUCACGUAGAGUAUGGUCAACGCCCUCAUUACAGCAGCCGAUGUGAACGUCAAGCCUUUCUGGCCAGGUUUGUUUGCAAAGGCCCUGGCCAAUGUCAACAUCGAGACUCUUAUCUACAACACAGGGCUGGUGGCCCUGCCCCAACAGGAGGUUCUGCCCCUACAGAGGACAAAAUGGGAGCAGAGAAAGAAGACUCUGAGGAGUCCGAAGAUGACAUAGGGUUUGGUCUUUUGAUUAAAUCUCUGGUGUAAUAUUUCUAUUUUGUAAUGUUCAAUCAAAAGCUGACCUCUUAGAAAAAUGAAAAAGAAUUUUUGAUUGUCAAAGGUCAAACGCCCCCCAGAAAUAUAGCCAAAACUGCUGGCACACAGGAAGGGGGCCACCAGGCAGUGGAAUGAGCACACAUUUGAUAACACAUGGGAACAUGUGUUCCUUCCUGCUCCCGCUGCAGGACUAGGCUCAUUAGAUAAGCCCCAUGAAGCUCAGUAGAGUCUGGGUUCUCCAGUCACUGUCUCAAUCUCACAUCCUGUCUCUAAGUGUGACCUUGUGCCAGUUACUUAAUCUCUCUGAGGCUCAGUCUUCUCAUCUAUAAAAUGAAGAUAUUAACAAUACUAACUGCUUCCCUGGUGGCUCAGACGGUAAAGAGUCCAUGGGCAAUGCAGGAGACCAGGUUCAAUCCCUUGGUCAGGAAUAUCUCCUGGAGAAGGGAAUGCCAACCCACUUCAGUAUUCUUGCCUGGAGAAUUUCAUGGACAGAGNNNNNNNNNNNNNNNNNNNNNNNNNNNNNNNNNNNNNNNNNNNNNNNNNNNNNNNNNNNNNNNNNNNNNNNNNNNNNNNNNNNNNNNNNNNNNNNNNNNAGCCUGGUGGGCUACAGUCCAUGGGGUUGCAAAGAGUCAGACACAACUAACACUUUCAACUUUUUUUCUUUCCUACAUCACAGCCAUGUUGAGAAUGAAAUAAGAUAAUUGAUUAAAAACCUUAGUUCAGGGCUAGUGAAUAAUAGAAUUCUCAACAAAUGUCCACUGUGUUCAGUAUACCACAUUCAAAGGUUAUCCAAAUGCCCUCUAUCUUUAACUUUGCUUCUGUUUUCAAUGAAAAGCUUCUGAAGUUUUAAUAACCUCUAUUGGUCUCUAUUCAUCAAGCACUUCAAGCCAAGCACUGACCCUGCUGGGCUUGGGCAACAGAGAAAUAAAAUCAUCCCAGCCCUUAAGUUACAGUCUCAGGGGGAAAACAAACUGUGUAUUUAAAUAGCAUGUGGUAAGCACAAAUGUUGGAAGAGGGUGUUUGCUGUGACCAGUGCAUUCUUUUGGCAGAACUUUAUUAAGCCUUUGCCCUCCUUCAUUCUGUACUCCAAGGCCAAAUUUGCCUGUUAC
ensembl:lncRNA